UAGGGAAUCUUCCGCAAUGGGCGAAAGCCUGACGGAGCAACGCCGCGUGAGUGAUGAAGGUCUUCGGAUCGUAAAACUCUGUUAUUAGGGAAGAACAAAUGUGUAAGUAACUAUGCACGUCUUGACGGUACCUAAUCAGAAAGCCACGGCUAACUACGUGCCAGCAGCCGCGGUAAUACGUAGGUGGCAAGCGUUAUCCGGAAUUAUUGGGCGUAAAGCGCGCGUAGGCGGUUUUUUAAGUCUGAUGUGAAAGCCCACGGCUCAACCGUGGAGGGUCAGUGGAAACUGGAAAACUUGAGUGCAGAAGAGGAAAGUGGAAUUCCAUGUGUAGCGGUGAAAUGCGCAGAGAUAUGGAGGAACACCAGUGGCGAAGGCGACUUUCUGGUCUGUAACUGACGCUGAUGUGCGAAAGCGUGGGGGUCAAACAGG
rnacentral:rRNA from 1 species